CCUACGGGAGGCAGCAGUAGGGAAUUUUCCACAAUGGGCGAAAGCCUGAUGGAGCAACGCCGCGUGGGUGAAGACGGUCUUCGGAUCGUAAAACCCUGUUUUUAGAGAAGAAAGUGCGUGAGAGUAACUGUUCACGUUUCGACGGUAUCUAACCAGAAAGCCACGGCUAACUACGUGCCAGCAGCCGCGGUAAUACGUAGGUGGCAAUCGUGAGCCGGAUUUAUUGGGCGUAAAGGUAAAGCAGGCGGGAUUUUAAGUCUGAUGUGAAAGCCGUCGGCUUAAACGGAGGAGUGCAUUGGAAACUGGGAGACUUGAGUGCAGAAGAGGAGAGUGGAACUCGAUGUGUAGCGGUGAAAUGCGUAGAUAGAUGGAAGAACACCAGUGGCGAAAGCGGCUCUCUGGUCUGUAACUGACGCUGAGGUUCGAAAGCGUGGGUAGCAAACAGGAUUAGAUACCCCUGUAGUC
rnacentral:rRNA from 1 species